UACAGAGGGUGCAAGCGUUACUCGGAAUUACUGGGCGUAAAGCGAGCGUAGUCGGUUAUUUAAGUCGGAUGUGAAAUCCCCGGGCUCAACCUGGGAAUUGCAUUCGAUACUGGAUAGCUAGAGUUCGGCAGAGGGAAGCGGAAUUUCGGGUGUAGCGGUGAAAUGCGUAGAUGUCCGAAGGAACAUCAGUGGCGAAAGCGGCUUCCUGGACCAGAACUGACGAUCAGGCUCGAAAGCGUGGGGAGCAAACAGG
rnacentral:rRNA from 1 species